UUACGGUCAUAAUCACGUUGGAACGCCAGUUCUCGUACGAUCACCGAAGUUAAGCAACCACGAGCCUUGUCAGUACCUACAUGGCUGGCCGCUUGAGAAUAUCAGUUGCUGUAAG